rnacentral:lncRNA from 1 species
UGCCCGCCGUUGUCCCCGUCGCCGUCGCCCCACCGCCGCGGGGUCGAGGCGACGACGAGGAGCUCGGCGAUAGGUGCGGUGAAUAAGAGGGAGAGUGGGAGCGGGACGUGGAGGCCGCUGCUGGCGCCGGGGACGGCGUUGCCGGGCGGGAGCUUCUCCUGUCGGCUCAAGACCUCGGCCGCCGAGGAGGACGACGACGGCGCGGCCCCGGCAAGGGUCGCCCUCAAGCUCGCCUCCCUUACCGCGCUGCUCUGGCUCCCCGCCCUCGUUGGUCUUCUCAUCGGCUGCCCCACCUUGACGACCAUCGGAUUCGCCGCUGCCUCCUCCUCCACACUCCGCCUCGCCGACCACCAGAUUCGCCGCCGCCUCCUCCUCCUGCUCCACCACGUGGCUGCCUUCUCCUCUCUCUCUCUCUCUCUCCUUCUCCUCCUCCAAGUUACCAGGUACCAGGCAGUAAAAGUGGACAAAACACUUGGUACUGCUGUCAUAGGAGUUCUAGAGGCCUUCAAGAGCAUGGUUUCUGGUCAGCACGGUAGAUUUCAUAGAGUUGUGGUGCAGAACAUUCUGAAAAACCUAUGUGCCUAUGCCAAACCAGACAGUGACUGCCAAUACUCCAUGCAGAAAUUUUCUGUAGACAACAUCUCGAUGGCACUUAGAACUAUGUAUCAGACAGACAAUCUUAUAGGGGAGGACAUGGAGGCCUUUCUUGGCCUUGUUUUGCAGUUCAGCAAACUUCUCUGUGAGACCGAUUUCAUCGAGGCUGUCAACGGAAAUGGAAUCGGCUUAAGGAAUUUUGUACAGAAGCUGAAAUUAAUCCUGAAGCAAGCAAAUUCACAUAGAACUGAAGCAAGCGUACACCCUGGAAUCAGAAGAUCCGCAAUUGAGCAGGUCAUAUGGAUGGCGCAACUGAAGCCUGAACCUCACUGCAUCGACCAUUUCAUCGACUGCUAA